ACAACUCUUACCGGUGGAUCACUUGGCUCGUGCGU
rnacentral:rRNA from 1 species